UAGUAACAGAUUCCAUCAAGUUGUGUGUUAACUUCUGUACAUGAGUCCAAAAUAUUCCACUCAUGUCCUCAUGUUAUCACAAUUGAGAAUAUACCCAAAUACAUUGCUUUCGAAAAAUGUGUUAAUAUAUGAAAUGUUACUCACCUUAAAAAUGUCCUCUGUGCUAUAUUUGUUCAGCCUAGAGCGCCUCUAAUAUACAGUCUGAAUGAUCUGAUUUUGUUAUGCGGGUGGGGGACGAUUGUUGAAAUCCUGCACUCAAGGUGGGGAAAAAUUAAGCCAAUUUCAUUAAGUCACCAUAACUUGAAUUUUGUUUUAAAUCAAUGAAUGCAGAAAUUUGAGUUGAAAUUACACACAAUAUAAGGUUGAUGUAAUGACCAACAUUAUUAUGUCAACACAACUCAUUAAAGGUCCAGUGUGUAAUAUGUACUCCGCACUCCGCCGCUCACCCCUCCCCUUCCUGAGACUUUGGCGAGGUUCCAGAAGCUACGGUGGCCUUCAAGGACAAGAAGCUAUUUGCUGAAGAUGUCAUCGUCCACAAGCUCACAAAGUCAAGUACCGGAGGUUAGAGGGACAGGAAGAGGGCGAGUUAGCGGUGCUGCUGCAGGCAGGACCAGGCGAGGGAGGAGAGCAAACACCGGCACCGCGGAAGAUGGGGGAAGAGGCUGGAAACCUCCCCAAAGGGCCGAAGCGAUUGAGCAUGAUAAUGCACCAUGUCACAAAGCUAAAAUGUCUCAAACUGGUUUCAUGAACAUGACAAUGAGUCCAGUGUACUUCAGUGGCCUCCCCAGUCACCAGAUCUGAACCCAGUAGAGCAGCUUUGGGAUGUGGUAGAACAGGAGAUUCACAGCAUGAAUGUGCAGCUGACAAAUCUGCAGAAAUGAUGAGAUGCAAUCAUGUCGACAUGGACCAGAAUCUCAAAUGAAUGUUUCCAACAUCUGGUGGAAUCCUGCAACCAAGAAUUGAGGCUGUUUUGGGAGCAAAGGGAGGCCCUGCCCAGUAUUAGUGUGGUGUUCCUAAUAAAGUGCUCGCUGAGUGUAUAUUCCUUCAUUCACAGUUAUACAGGAAGUACUUAUUAAUAAUUAAUCAAUUAUCAGGUCGUCCCUUAUUUGUAAUUUCUUUUAUCUUUGGUAACUUAGUAUUUCAUGUAACUUAUUGUAAAAUGUUAAAAACACAAACGUUAGCAGCUCUACUCUGGAUGAUAUUUCAUGUGUUAGUGAAUGAAAUAUUGAUUGUGGUUGUAAUGUAUUCUUGUGGACAGCAGCAGGUAGUUUGUUGGUUUGGACAGCAGGUGGUGCUGCUGCAUCAACAACGAGCUGACACUCAAACAUACAACAGUGUGUUUUAGUCUCACAGGGAGACAAGCUGGGUUCAAACCUGUGACAUGGACACAACUCCAAUAAAUUUACAUGAAUAUCAGCUGUGAAACAGGAAGCUUUGACAUUUUAUGAACCUCUUCUAAUCCAGUUUCCACCUUAUAUUUCCCCUUCAGUAGCUUUAAGGUUGUAAAACUGCUGCGGCAGCUGGAUUAGAUUCAGUGUUGAAGUAAAACAUCAAACCAUCAUCUUUGUUUUCUUUAUUUCCACUGAUCCAUUUACUCAAGUACUGUACUUUACUACAA